rnacentral:snoRNA from 1 species
AUGCAUCUCUGACAAACGUGGAGCAGUUAAUAUCUGCUGCUAAGGUUUCCACUCUAGAUGCAAGAAAAAGAAAGUCCUUGCUCUUUCUGUGUGGUUGUCACAGUCAAGAUCGAAUGGAGGAAUACAGGA